ACCAUGGGCCAGACUGUGUAUCAGCCAAUCAUCACAGGUAACAAGGGGUUUGGACUGGCUGCCUUUACCCACCCUCCAACUGCCCCUCUGCAAGCUCAAUACCUAGGAGGCCAAGAACUAGGCCCUGCAUCCUGGGGAAUUAUUAGCCUAGGGCUUCCCAGCUCCUAAAGCCUUUCCCCAGCCCUGCCUCUCUCUAGGUCCCCUGAGUG